CCUACGGGAGGCAGCAGUGGGGAAUAUUGCACAAUGGGCGAAACCCUGAUGCAGCGACGCCGCGUGAGUGAUGAAGUAUUUCGGUAUGUAAAGCUCUAUCAGCAGGGAAGAAAAUGACGGUACCUGAUUAAGAAGCCACGGCUAACGACGUGAAAGCAGCCGCGGUAAUACGGAGGGCGCAAGCGUUAUCCGGAUUUACUGGGGGUAAAGGGAGCGUAGGCGGCAGGCCAAGUCUGGAGUGAAAUGCCCGGGCUUAACCCCGGGACUGCUUUUGAAACUGGGCAGCUGGAGUGCAGGAGAGGAAAGUGGAAUUCCUAGUGUAGCGGUGAAAUGCGUAGAUAUUAGGAGGAACACCAGUGGCGAAGGCGGCUUACUGGACUGUAACUGACGCUGAGGCGCGAAAGCGUGGGUAGCAAACAGGAUUAGAUACCCCAGUAGUC
rnacentral:rRNA from 1 species